GCGGGCGUAGCUCAGGGGUAGAGCGCAACCUUGCCAAGGUUGAAGUCGAGAGUUCGAAUCUCUUCGCCCGCUCCA
rnacentral:tRNA from 5 species